rnacentral:rRNA from 1 species
CAGGCUGAAGACUUACCCGAUUAGCUGAGAGGUGGUGCAUGGCCGUCGUCAGUUCGUACUGUUGAAGCAUCCUGUUAAGUCAGGCAACGAGCGAGACCCACGUCCACAGUUGCCAGCAUACCCUCCGGGGUGAUGGGUACACUGUGGAGACCGCCGCUGCUAAAGCGGAGGAAGGAGUGGGCAACGGUAGGUCAGUAUGCCCCGAAUCUCCCGGGCUACACGCGGGCUACAAUGGUUGGUACAAGUGGGCAUCUACCCCGAAAGGGGAAGGAAAUCUCUUAAAGCCAAUCGUAGUUCGGAUUGAGGGCUGCAACUCGCCCUCAUGAAGCUGGAAUCCGUAGUAAUCGCGUUUCAACAGAACGCGGUGAAUACGUCCCUGCUCCUU